GACGGAGGGGGCAAGCGUUGUCCGGAAUCACUGGGCGUAAAGCGCGUGUAGGUGGUCCGGUGCGUCGGCGCUGAAAGCGCCAGGCUUAACCUGGCGAGGCGUGCCGAUACGACCGGACUUGAGGCAGGGAGAGGGUGGCGGAAUUCCGGGUGUAGUGGUGAAAUGCGUAGAGAUCCGGAGGAACGCCAGAGACGAAGGUGGCCACCUGGCCCUCGCCUGACACUGAGACGCGACAGCGUGGGGAGCAAACCGG
rnacentral:rRNA from 1 species